CUUCAACAGAGAGCAGAAGAAAUGCAUAUGAGGAGCAAAAAACAAACAAACAAACAAACAGAAAUUAAGUCUCUACUUUGUGGGAGUUUCCUGGGGAAUGAAGUAGGGAGCUCCCAGAGACUAAGUCACCAAUCAAAGAGCCUACAUGUACAUGGGCUGGUCAACGCUGGUGAGCGCAUAUGUAGCAGAGGACUGCCUUGUCUAUCCGCAGUGGAAGAGGAUGCACCUAAUAUAAAUAUUUGUGUAAACAUCUCCUCGUGGAGGAAGGAGAAAAUUGAUUCCUAAAAGCUGUCCUGAGACCUUAGAGCCACAAGAAUUCAGUGAUGGGCACUUUGAUUGAUCAUAAAAUAAAUAUUUC